GACGAACGCUGGCGGCGUGCUUAACACAUGCAAGUCGAACGGAAAGGCCCUUCGGGGUCCUCGAGUGGCGAACGGGUGAGUAACACGUGGGUGAUCUGCCCUGCACUUUGGGAUAAGCCUGGGAAACUGGGUCUAAUACCGAAUAGGACCACGCGCUUCAUGGUGUGUGGUGGAAAGCUUUUGCGGUGUGGGAUGGGCCCGCGGCCUAUCAGCUUGUUGGUGGGGUAAUGGCCUACCAAGGCGACGACGGGUAGCCGGCCUGAGAGGGUGACCGGCCACACUGGGACUGAGAUACGGCCCAGACUCCUACGGGAGGCAGCAGUGGGGAAUAUUGCACAAUGGGCGCAAGCCUGAUGCAGCGACGCCGCGUGAGGGAUGACGGCCUUCGGGUUGUAAACCUCUUUCAAUAGGGACGAAGCGCAAGUGACGGUACCUAGAGAAGAAGCACCGGCCAACUACGUG
rnacentral:rRNA from 1 species